UUUAGAUCUAGCUUGGGCAUGAAUCAACAUUUAAAUUUCUGCUAGCAAAGCAGAACUACAGCUGCGAAAUGGCAUGGAUUUGAUUCCUUUAAACCUAAAGAUAUGCAUAGGCUGCAUAUACCAAACAACCUUGGCAAGAAAACUUUGAAAACCGCCACUGCAGGAUCUUGUACUUAAAAUUGUGCAGAUUUGUCUUAUAAACAGUGCAAGAAGAGGGUAGAUUUUCAGUGGGUUGCCAGUCCAAACAAAUGUCCCAAAAUACUACCCGUAUCAGCUCGAUCUACUACUGAAAUUGAAUUCUUUAGCGACUCGAAAGAGCAAAAUUACUAUGGCCAUAACAAGGCAGAUGAAAUUUGGACAAAAGAGGGAAAAUAGAGCAAGCAUGAGCAUACAUAAUCAGCGAAACAAUUUGGCUUCAACACCCCUUUUGACCAACGCAAAACAAAAUCAAACCCGACAAGGAUGAACCAAACUUUUUCAUGGAACCCAAGUUAAAUCAGCUCAUCACUUGUACAAGUGAGAGCUACAUCAGAUGAUGCUUCAUAACAAACACAAAUCACUAGACUUUUGUCGUUUGUAACAUGUUCUGAUAAGUGUAAUUGAUCGAGCCAUAAAGCAGCAGUAAACAAAACUAAUUGGGUGACAAUUUCUUGAACUCGUAUCGAAUUAGAGAUGUACAAGAAAUUCUACAAUCGUCAAUGAAUCGACAAACAUAUGAAACACCUUAUCUAACAAACACAGGCUUGAUCAAGCCUCCAUCAUUCCCACAAAGUCGAGUAAAUUCUGCCCUCAAUCAUUGUGUUAGAUGAAGACCAGAUCAAGCGUACAACAUCCAAUUGAUACAUAGUUAAGAAGCAAAACUGAAAAUGAAGAAAAUAGCUCACGCUCCGAAAUCAAUCACGAGCUAAUCAUACCGUGACAGGAAACAACAAUAGAAAACACUUUUAGAGAACUCAUUUAAGAUGUACACAGCCAAACCAAGCCAGUAAUACGCGUAAAAAUGGAAAACAAAUACACUAUACCAACAGUCACCAAGAUUCAAAUAGUUCCAGACCAGCUGAACUCAAAUUCUCAAUACGUUUCUUAAUCAAACACCAAAGAUAGGCUACAUGGAAUUAGAAAUGAACCUGAAUCAACAAACACCUACGACUAACUUUGCUCGAAUGUUGAAUACAAGUGAAAUCCAAUAGCAAAUAUCAGCAACCAGCAACAGAAAUGAGUAGGAAUCAGAAGCUUGGACAACGACAAACUCAGCAAUUUUCUAUCAAACUCCAUAUUAAAAGAACUCCAUCACAAGCAAGAUUAACCCAGAGAUGAUAUGCAAAGAAAUCGGAUUUUUUUUUUGUAUUUUUGUUCUCUAAUUCUAACAAAGACAGACAGAAUUAAGCACAAAAAGAAACUCGGCCCAUUUUGGGAGUAUUUUCUGUAUUUUCAACGAGAAGAAACAAGGAAGAUGAGAAUCGACAAAAGAAAAUUUCAGAAAAAAACCAGAAGUAUUUUUUUUUCUAAAAUAAAUCUCAUCUGAAUUUCCUUAAAUUCCAAAAAUCCAAAAAAUAUCCCUUCUUCAAAAUCGGAUAUGGUCCUUUAUAAAAUGAACCCCUGAUGAAUGUGGGGCUUGGAUUGAACGAAAUCAAUCAAACGUCUCACACUCAUCCCAUGAAUAGUCUCUAGGACCUUCCAGUCGAGUGCCCUAUCGAGCGAGUGAAGGGUAGGAGAAUCUUUGGUGUCAGAAAUCGUUAGAAAUAGUGAUGAGGAGAGAAGGAGGAACGCGUGAGGAGAGAUUUGAGGCACACUCGCUUGGAUUUGAACUGAAAUUGAGGCUGGGUUCGUGUUCUUCUUUGGAGAAGAAGAACAGUCACCUGGAUUUGGAGAGAUUAGGGCUUUGCCCAUUCUUUUGCGUCUGAUAUUUGGGGCCUGUGGAUUUUAACAAUUAAUUGACUUCCCUUCUCUUUUCUCUUUUUCAUUUUCUAGGUUCCUUCUUUUCUGUUUUUUCUCUUUUUGUUUCAAAAGUAAACUAAUUAAAUCAUAAAAUCAAAUUACCUUAUCAAAAAAUGCAAAGU
rnacentral:lncRNA from 1 species